rnacentral:tRNA from 1 species
GACGUGGUACAGCUCAGUGGUAGAGUGUGUGCUUAGCAUGCACAAGGACAUGGGUUCAAUCCCAGGCACCUCC